AAGUCCCACCCUAUCUCGUGAAUAGGGCCAAUCAGUGUUGACGCGGCAGCUAAAGUUAGAGAAGAAGUUGGUGGAAGAGAGACCGAUUGAAAAUGAAACGAAAACAUAAAUCAGGGUACCAGAAACGCCAUGAAAAGAAGGAGAUGGAGGCCAGAAGAGCUGCUGUAUCCCAGUCGAUCAAGACAUUCUUUACGACAGAUGUAGCAUCGUCUGAUUCGCAACCCCAUUCCAAAGAUGACUUGGAGGGUCAGAGUGUAAGAUACUCAUUGGGCAUAUUGACUUGUCAUGAAUCUUUCUAUUGUUUGUAUUUAGUAUUUACUAGUCACAUCUAUUUUAACAGAACCAGAUUAGAUAGUGUUUUUUUUGUUUGUUUUGUUUUUUAAUAACUAUUUGAGUCAUGGUAUUUAUCUACAGAGCCAGGUUCCUCAAUCUAGCAAAUGCAUAAUUGAAAGCCAGCUAAGCAGACAGCUGGACUUCAAAGACAUCAUAAGUGACUUUGCUAACAAAAAGGUCAGACAAUGGGAUUUUGGUUCAUCCUAGGUGAAGUGACCUAAGGUCAUGAAAGGUUAAAGAUCAAUCAAACUGAUAUACAUAUAAUCAUUUGUAUAAUUUUCAUAGUUAUUUCAAAGUUUAAUCCUUUUUGAAAUUUUAGUGUUUGCUCUCUGUUUGUUUUAAUAUUUUGUUUUUGAUGUUCAGUAAAAACCUUUAUUUAUUUGUUAUCUGAUUGUUAUUUUGUAAGAAACCCCUAUUAGAUUACAUGUAGGCCUCCAUGCUCUUAUAUUGUACAAUAUAUGAUAUAGGCGGAGGGUGGUGGGGGCCCAUGUCAAUAUUUUUUUAGGGGGCCCCCAAUCUAGCUACAGACCUGGGUGGAGCUAAACUCUGCAGGACAGCGGCACUCCAGAACUGAUGUUGCCUAUCCCUGAUCUAUAAUUUUGUUUUUAAAGCUAUAUUUAAAACAUUAAUUUUAUAGUAUUGUGCAGUUAUGUAAAUAAACACAAUAAGUAUGUGAAUAAAUCACUGCAUAUCAAA